rnacentral:rRNA from 1 species
AACGGCCAUACCAUGCUGAAUAUACCGGUUCUCGUUAGAUCACUGAAGUCAAGCAUCAUUGGGCGCGGUCAGUACUUGGGUGGGUGACCACCUGGGAACACCGCGUGCCGUCG